ACAGGUCUUUUUGAUCCUUGCAAAUGAGAUUUAUGGCAACAAAAAUGACUAAAUAAAAUGAUACCGCUUUGUGUGACUAAUACAAAGAAAACAUUCACUUAAAAUUUAAUUCUAUAAUUUACUUACGCUAAUGUUGCACAAAACCCAUAUGAUGUUCAUCUAAGUAAAAAAAAAAAAAAACAUGUUUGAGAUAUGAGAGAAGAUGGUGAUCAUAACUGUCAAUCUCCAAAAGUUUCAUCAAGAUAGUCCAAAUGAUUCAUGUGCUUUAAAUUUAGUAGUUGACAGUUAAAAUUUUGUCCUUCCCCAUCAGAAAUCAGUGUUCACGAGAGUACUGUUUGUUUACAUUUAAUGUGACACAUAUAAGGAGAAGAAGGAGGAAGAAUUUUUUUUUAUUAUUAAAAAAUGUAACAGUAGACAUAUAAAUCAAUUGUUACAUUACUCAGUUUACAUAUCCCCUAGAAGUACAUUUUUUCUGGAACAUUUUUUGUAUGUUUUUGACAGUAUUCACUGGAAGAGAACAUGGUUACUCCCCUGAAAAUGUUUGUAUUUCAAAUAAAAUAAGACGGGUAGAUUCAAUUUCAAAUAAUGUCUAUCCAACCAACUCCCAAACUGCUACAUUUGUUGAUCUCUCUGUGUAUUCAGCAAAGUUAGAAUGGUAGAAACUUUGCUUCAUUUAUUCUACCACUUCAAUCAGAUAAAUCUUUUUUAUUUUUGAUAAAUUUCAGUGUGGUGCUGUUCUUUUUUUUAGCAAUUAAAAAAAGACUUGAGAACAAGGAAGUCUCCUGCACAGAGCUGGGAGUCAUUCUUAGGGUGGGACUACAAAAGGCACUUAAGUUAAGACUGCUAUUGCUCUUGAAUUUCUGUAUCUCAGUAUGACAAUGUUGUUCUUUUACACAGUCAUGGCACUUCUUACAGAUUAUGUUCUUGCAAAUGCAAUAACAUCUCACUCUACUAAACAGCAUGUUUUAGAAGGAGGAAAAGUCACUAUUUCUUGCAACUACAGUGGAAGCAAUAUUAACAGUCUUCAGUGGUACAGACAGUCUUCCAAUACUGCACCUGAAUUUAUCUUGCAAGCUUUUAUAGGUUUGGAACCACAGCACAAGGACCGCUAUGUUGCUAACGUUCAAAAGAAUGAACAAACACUAUAUCUGGAGAUCUCCAAAACUGAGAUGGCAGAUGCUGCAGUAUACUACUGUGGCCUGGUGCCCACAGUAACAGGAAACCCUUCAACACUGUACAAAAACCUGAGAUAUGACUUUCACAUUUGACUAUAGUGUCUCUGAUCCUGGUGCUACAUUGUUUUUUGGUUUUUUUUUCUACUGCACAGAGUGAUGGAUAUUAAUGGUGAUUAAUUCAUAUUCAUGGUCAUUAACACUGAUAAAAAAGUGAUUUAAAACAAAUCUAAGCAAAAAAUAAUAAUAAGCGCAAGAUUAACAAAUGAGCAAGUAUUAAUUUAUCAGUUUAAAAUUUUACAUGAAUCCAUACUUCUGUUCAGAAAGGUAUUUGUCUUUCUAAUACAAUUAACUUCUGUUUACUAGAAUGCAUCAAUAAAUUUUUCUAUAAGGAAACAACACAGACAUCUCAGAAUAAUGUAUACUUGUAGGGGUGAAUGUAUACCUCAGGCUCUAUUACACUGUCAAAGGUUUGUCUCUAUUAUGGUAAAUGCAGUAUAUCUGGUCUGGAGGAUGGUUUCUUUAUUUUAUUCACUUAAUAGAAAAGGACAUUUAGGUGUGCAUCUAAUACUACAAAAAUGCACAACUCUUGCUGAUGUAUGAUAUUGUCAGCUGUAGGCUGCUCUAUCAUAAAACAUGCCCUCACUGUUCAAACUACUGAUGUUAUUAUUAUUAAAUGCUGUAGAUGCAAACUCCUGUGGCACAGUCAUAGCUGUUAAAACAGUGUGAUAUCACUGUCUACUGUAUAAAAAUGCAUAUUGAUUUGUGGUGCAGUAGUUCACCUGCUGCUGAACCUCUAAGAAAACAUGCUAGCUCAAAUCAUAAGCAAAUAAACAAGCUCAGCCAGCCAGAGUAGGGCACUCAAAUGUUUAAUUUUGAGAGGCUAAAGUAAAAUAGUUCAUUCUGACUAUUUUCUCUUAUUUGCCAGGUGAGUUGUCUGGCAAAGUUAAUCUAAGACUUUAGACAAGAAGAUCUGGGAUUACAG
rnacentral:lncRNA from 1 species